rnacentral:rRNA from 1 species
GCGCUGCUACACAUGCCAGUCGUAACGGGAUCCAUCCUUCGGGGUGGUGAGAGUGGCGGACGGGUGAGUAACGCGUGGGAACCUGCCCAGUGGUGGGGGAUAACUGCGGGAAACUGCAGCUAAUACCGCAUGAGCCCCGAGUGUAACAGCUUGGGGGAAAGAUUUAUCGCCAUUGGAGGGGCCCGCGUUCGAUUAGGUAGUUGGUGGGGUAAUGGCCUACCAAGCCGACGAUCGAUAGCUGGUCUGAGAGGAUGAUCAGCCACACUGGGACUGAGAUACGGCCCAGACUCCUACGGGAGGCAGCAAGUGGGGAAUAUUGGACAAUGGGGGCAACCCUGAUCCACAAUGCCGCGUGAGUGAUGAAGGCCUUCGGGUUGUAACGCUCUUUUGCCAGGGACGAUGAUGACGGUACCUGGAGAAUAAGCCCGGGCUAACUUCGUGCCAGCAGACCCGCGGUAAAUACGAAGGGGGCCAAGCGUUAGUCCCGGAAAUUACUUGGGCCGUUAAAAGGGGCCNACGUUUAAGGGCCGGCUUGCCCAAAGUCCACAGG